AGUAAUAUUUAAUUGCACCAAGAGGGCUGAUGUUCACCUGAUGCUUUAGCAUCAUUUUGACUGCUAGACAUCUAGGUCCUCCAGGGCUAUUUCCUGUCCUUCCCGGUGAACUGUACUGAGGACGUCCGCCAGAACCAUUGGUGUCUUCUGCAGCUGUGCCAGUAAAAUUCCUCCCCCUCACCUGUGCUUGCAGAGUUGUGGGUCAGCCUGUCCUGUGCCGGGGUUGUAGUCACUGUGCUGCAGUGAGCAUUUUGGGAGUAUAUUUUGGCUUCCAUCUGCUUUCUCUGGAGACCUAUCCUGUGGGAGCCCUGAAUUGGCAUGUAAGAAGCUCGGCUAUCCUAAAGGUGCCAUAGUGGAGUGACCACAUGGAGAAACUACAUAAAGAUAAGGAUAUAUCCAAGGAGUCCCAGCUGUUCAAGGCUUCCCAAUUCAGGUGCCAGACAAGUGAUGAAGAUGCUUUCAAGAUCUUCCUUCUGAAAUAACUCACGAGGGUCCUGAGCCAAAGCUCUGCAGCCAAGCCUCACCCAAAUUUCAGACCAAUGGAAACAGUUCCAGAUCACCCAAGUUGCCCUGGGGGCUUUGCACUUGCUGUUCCCUCUGUGUCAGAGCAUUCGUCUUUCAUAGAGGACUUCACUUACACUUCUGUUUUGUUGUGACAUUUUGCUGCAAUUGUUGAAAAGGCAGGACCAAGCGAUAGACAUAGUUGAAUCAUUGUGUCACUGCGUGGAGGCCAUCAGACUUCGCGAGCUAUUCCAAGUACUCUAGAUUUUGCUCCUUCCCGUGACUUUCCGGCUCGAACUCCUGAGUGUCAUCUUUUGAGUCUGAGUCUCCCUCCUACUCCGGCUGCUGCUGACAAGGGCAAGCUGGGGCCACCUGGAGAGACAGAGGAAGAUUUCCAUGAAGCUAACAGCAGGAUUAAUGGGAGAAGGCCAAAUAUGGACCUCUAACAAGUCACAGAAGAUGCCCCACUUCUUCUUAGCCUGCCUGCAGCUUUCCCAUGUCAACAGUCUUCAAUUGGGUGCUUUUUAAAAAUUUAUAUUCCUAGGCCCUACUCCAGACCCAUUGAAUCAGAAUUACUGAAGGAGAGGCCCAGAUGUCUGCAUUUUAAAGAAGCUCCCCAGGGUGAUUCUUUUGCAUAUGAAAUUUGAGAACUAUUGCACCUAGUGCCACCCCACAGAACUUCCUCCUAAAUUUUGCCUUGUUUAAUAUUUUUAUAAAUAUUUGGAUGAAGAUAUGGAUGUGCUGAUCAGAUCUGUCAUUGCCAUAAAGGUGAAACAGAAGGAAUAGAGGGAUUCAAUUUGGUGAUUUCUAGACUUCAGACCUGGCCUUGGUAUAUAACCUUAUAUUGGUGCUGAAGACGAUUAGAAUUUCUUUCGACGCUGAAUGCAUCUAAGAAGGCUGUACCAGACACUCUACCGAUAUUACUUAUUUGUGACCUGAUUUAACCCUCAAAAUAGCCCUGUAAGGCAUGUAUUAUUACCAUUUUAUUGAUAAGUAAACAAAUGCAACGAAGUUGACAGACUUGCCUAAUAUCACAUGUGUGGGAAAUGACAGACCAUUAGAACCUAAGUAUGACUCCAAAGCUGUGCGCUCUUUUCCUAAGUCAUAUCAGAACUUUGACUACUUGUUUCUACCCUGUAACUAAACACAGUAGGUGACUUUCUUACUUUUUCUAAAUACAAAAUAAAAUUAAAGUCUGUGAAUGAUUUAUAAGAAAAAUAUGUUGAAAUCUAUGUCUGUCAAGAAAGAUAUUGCUUGGCAUCAUUCAGAAACCUUGUCAGAAUGUUCUCAAUUCUAAAGUCUGAGUCACUGCUAAGAAUAAAAACAUGAGUUUCCGGUUUAAUCUCUAUGGGUAUCACAAUAUAGCCUCCUGAUCAAAUUAAUGAAUAAUGGCAAAAUAGGCACUUUAUUUCAUACUGUGUAGCAUAAGACACAUUCCUAAAGGGUCAGCAGUGCCAUUUGUUACAGACAGUAGCUUCCAAAGAUUCUCAAGCAAUUCACAUUUCAACCAUUAUUUCUUGAAAACAUGCAAUUUCUUGUGUAUGUUAAGUGAAUGAAUGUCCUUAAAAAUUUUUUUCUCCCUGAACUAUUCCAUCAAAUUUUACCUUAAAAACUGGCAACUUUCCUUUCAACCAGAAUACACUCAGAGAACUUUUGAGAAUAGUUAACUCAGACUGCAGAAGCAGAUAAGACAAUUUGUGCAACUCUCCCUGGGGAAGAGAAUUUUACUGCUUACUAAGAAUCUGGAUUGCGUCAUUGGUAAGCUAAAUGGACAUCAAUAUAUUUUUCUGAAUCCUCGCACGUUUUUGUAAAGGAACAAACAUCACAAGGGUUGUAGGCUGAUUAUUUUGCGUCAUUUCAAGGUCAUUGUGUCUUUGUACAGCCUAGGUAUGUAGCACAUCAGUGACUUAUAUACUCGCUAGUCAUUGAACUCUAUUUACCAAACCUGUGAAUAAUUUUGUAGCCAACAGUGUGUCAGGUAUUUUAUUUCUUCAUUGGUUACGUUUGUGAGUUAUCUCUAACAUUUAGCAUUUUAUUUAGUUUCUUUGUUUUUUAUAAUGAUUUAUCAAAGAUCAGCUCUGAGUGAUAUGGUUGUUUCUGAUUGUUAGUUGAGUUUUAGAUUCAUAUUUGGUUGUGGGGCCGUUGAGGGUAUGCUUGUGUGUGCAGAGGGCUGUGGAUAGGGUGGAUUAGGUCAUGUGCUGUGCUUUAGUUGAUAUUUCACUUAUUCUUUUUUGAUAUAUAAUAUAUAUAUUAUAUAUAUAUUACCAUUUAUUAUAGCAUAUCUCAGAACAUACUCUAAUUUCUCCAAGUAUAGGAAUAAAACCUGACCAAAUGAACACUGUUUUGCUAAGAAUGGAAGAAGUUUAUUAGGAGAGAUGGAUUGACUAAUUUGAGUUUCUGUUUCUUUGAAAGCAACUAUUUAAUUGAAUAGUUACCUUCUCUCCUUAGCAAACACUUCCUGGUUAUCUCUACCUUUUAACAAGGUUUAGCAAUUUUAUGGCAGUCACUGAAAUACAAGGCACUAGUUUACUGGAGAUUUUAUGUGAUAAUGGUACCUCUUGAAAAUGAGGUUUCCUCUUACAAAAAAAUUGUUUUGAUCUUUACCAAUCUAGCAAAUAUAUUGAGAAUAAAAUGUUGUAUGAAAGAGUUAUAACACUCUAUUGCUUUUUUGACAUCUUUGUUUGUUGAUAAAUGCUAAAAGAGAAAAAAAAUCUUGUCUUUUAUCCAAAAGAGAAAAGAUAUUAUAGUAUCAUCAGUCUCCAAUAUAAGAUUACAAGUGAGGCAUUACCUUUAUUUUGAAACUUUAAUAAAAAACAUUUUCUGGAGAGAUGUUAAAGAUAGAAUUUGCUUUGAAUAUCUGUGUAAUAUAGUUUAUGAAAGUAAAAGAAAUCCAACUAUUUGUGUGCAUGGGCAUUUCUAUUCAGAAAUACACUAUAUAAUCACUACACUAAAAGUGCAAUAGAUGUCAAGGUAAGUACAACAGAAGUAGGAACUCAGUGGGUCCUACAUCUAGGUCACUGCGGUUCUAGAAAUCAGCUCUUUGGCUGUUUUUCUCCACUCCAUUAAAACAUUCAUAACUUUUCUUUUCAAUAUUGUUUAUUGUUGAUUUCUGCUAACACACUGGGGAAGGAGGUAAAGGACUGCCUAAUAUGACAAAAUCAUCUCCUUCAUUCAAUAUGUCUUCCACAUAUGAAGUCAAAGACAAAAAAAGAACAUCUUUUCUUUAGACUGAGAGUACUGGAGAUUCUUUUCAAACAUGGUUUCAACAAUAAACAAGUGCUGUCUCAGUCCUUUAAAGACGACAAAAUUGGUAUCAUCAAGAAGUGUGCUGACAUUUUUCUUCUUACUAAAAGCCAAGAAAACACUAACCACUCUAUCACUAUCCAAAUUCUUACUGACUACUAUUUAAAAUAAGCAAUGGACAAAAAAUUGCCACUCUCAGGGGUGUGUGCUGGAGAAGAUCCAAGAACAGCCACUGACUGUUCAUGAUUACACUUGUUACAAAAUUGGCUAUUUCAUACCUAGGGACACCUUUGAUUUCAACAUUAUCUUUCAUUGAACAAUAUCCCUGAGAGGGUGCUGGCAAUAAUUAAAGCAGCUCUUCAAUUGUACCCAUGUUUCAGUGUAUGUGAGAAUUAAAGUUCUUGCUGCACCUAUGGAUUUGCUAUAGGGAAAAAAAAAAAAAAAAGAAUGAGAUGAACUCUAGGGGUCUUUUGGGAGUGAAGGAAAGGAAGGCAAAGAUGCUAUGUAAACAUUUCAGAGUAAAAAGACAAUUUAGAUUAACAGUUAAAUGCAUAGCUUUGAAAUUAAGCAAGCCGAAUCCCAGGACUACUAUAUUUUAAUAUAUGAACUUCUACAAGUUAAUUACUCUCUGAUAGUCUCAGUUUGUGCACCUGUAAAAUGACCUUAUAAUAAUGACCUAUUUCAUAGGAAUGUGGUAAGUGUAAAUGAGAUUGUUUAUAUGAAGCACUUGUACAGAGGACUCUCAAUGCUAUCAUCAUCAUCACUGAGACAUCUAGGAGUUUAUUUUGAAUGCUAGAUUCAAGAAGGGUAAAGGCCAUUUUGGUAACCUCAGUUCAUAGACUAUCAGAAACAUAUUCUACUUUAGGGUCUUGAUUUUAGUAAAUAUACCUGGCAGAUGUAUAUCGAUUCUUGACUUUGACUAUCCCGAUGUACUCUCUACUGGUCUGUUGUUUUUAAUAAGGAACUUUAGAAAGCAACAAAAGGGAUACAUUAUUCAGACGAAAUGAGGAUAUAUACAAAACAUUUAUAUCGCUUAUGAGUUAUAUUUUAUGUGUUAAUCAACUGAAUGUACAUAUUGGUCUUGUAUGUAUUUCUUUUUUUAUGAAAUGAUGAUUGAAACCUGAAGGUGACUCUUCUGGUGAUUUUUUAGAGACUUUUGGGCUAAAUAGGAAGAUUUGGGAAUGUGCAGAAGUUUUGGCUUCUCUCAAAUAAUGCCACUUGAUUAGUUACCUUUUUGCUUAUACCCAGAAUAUUAGAUGGAAAUAUAGCACAGGUGAGAUAGGGGUACAAGAAUUUCUAAUUCCUUCCCAUUUGAAGCUCUGUAUGUUUCAUGUUUCAUAGCUUUAGGCCUUGAGAUUUACAAAUCAUGCUCAAAAGUUUUACUUCUUAUGAGGCAGUAAUGAAAUAAGGAUAGAAUAAUGUUCACAGCUUAAAACAAAGCAUUGAUAUUAUUUCUCUAGCAAAAACUCUCAACUUUUGUAUCUUCAACUUGUUUGCUGUUGAAUGGUUGCCUAAGAACUUUUUUUUUUUUUUUUUUUAAAUUAGGACAAACUACUGUAGUGCUCAUAGUGGUUUUGACAAUUAG